rnacentral:rRNA from 1 species
UACGAAGGGGGCUAGCGUUGUUCGGAAUUACUGGGCGUAAAGCGUGCGCAGGCGGCUUCUCAAGUCAGGGGUGAAAGCCCAGAGCUCAACUCUGGAAUUGCCUUUGAGACUGAGUGGCUUGAGUACGGGAGAGGUGAGUGGAAUUCCCAGUGUAGAGGUGAAAUUCGUAGAUAUUGGGAAGAACACCGGUGGCGAAGGCGGCGAGCUGGUCCAUUACUGACGCUGAGGCGCGACAGCGUGGGGAGCAAACAGG